UACAGAGGGUGCAAGCGUUAAUCGGAAUUACUGGGCGUAAAGCGCGCGUAGGUGGUUUGUUAAGUUGGAUGUGAAAUCCCCGGGCUCAACCUGGGAACUGCAUUCAAAACUGACAAGCUAGAGUAUGGUAGAGGGUGGUGGAAUUUCCUGUGUAGCGGUGAAAUGCGUAGAUAUAGGAAGGAACACCGGUGGCGAAGGCGACCAUCUGGACGGAUACUGACGCUGAGACGCGAAAGCGUGGGUAGCAAACAGG
rnacentral:rRNA from 1 species